rnacentral:rRNA from 1 species
AUUGAACGCUGGCGGCAUGCCUUACACAUGCAAGUCGAACGGCAGCGGACCUUCGGGUGCCGGCGAGUGGCGAACGGGUGAGUAAUAUAUCGGAACGUACCUUUCAGUGGGGGAUAACGUAGCGAAAGUUACGCUAAUACCGCAUAUUCUGUGAGCAGGAAGGCAGGGGAUCGCAAGACCUUGCGCUGAUUGAGCGGCCGAUAUCAGAUUAGCUAGUUGGUGAGGUAAAGGCUCACCAAGGCGACGAUCUGUAGCGGGUCUGAGAGGAUGAUCCGCCACACUGGAACUGAGACACGGUCCAGACUCCUACGGGAGGCAGCAGUGGGGAAUUUUGGACAAUGGGCGCAAGCCUGAUCCAGCCAUGCCGCGUGAGUGAAGAAGGCCUCGGUU